GCUCCAGUGGUGCAAUCGGUUAGCGCAUGGUACUUAUAAUGCCGAGGUUGUGAGUUCGAGCCUCACCUGGAGCA
rnacentral:tRNA from 1 species